CCGAGUUCGAGCGGUUUCUGGGCGGGC
rnacentral:sRNA from 1 species